UACAGAGGGGGCAAGCGUUGUUCGGAAUUACUGGGCGUAAAGGGCGCGUAGGCGGCCUGCUAAGUCGAACGUGAAAUCCCCGAGCUCAACUCGGGAACUGCGUCCGAUACUGGCAGGCUUGAAUCCGGGAGAGGGAUGCGGAAUUCCAGGUGUAGCGGUGAAAUGCGUAGAUAUCUGGAGGAACACCCGUGGCGAAGGCGGCACUCUGGGACGGUACUGACGCUGAGACGCGAAAGCGUGGGGAGCGAACAGG
rnacentral:rRNA from 1 species